GACGAACGCUGGCGGCGUGCCUAACACAUGCAAGUCGAACGAAGAAUGUUUUUCGGAAUAUUCUUAGUGGCGGACGGGUGAGUAACGCGUGAACAAUCUGCCCCGUACAAAGGGAUAGCCUCGGGAAACCGGGAUUAAAACCAUAUAACACUUAACUGCCGCAUGGUAGUGAAGUCAAAUCGAUUAAGAGGUAUGGGGAUGAGUUCGCGUCUGAUUAGCUAGUUGGUGAGGUAAGGGCUCACCAAGGCGACGAUCAGUAGCCGGCCUGAGAGGGUGAACGGCCACACUGGAACUGAGACACGGUCCAGACUCCUACGGGAGGCAGCAGUGGGGAAUAUUGCACAAUGGAGGGAACUCUGAUGCAGCGACGCCGCGUGAGUGAAGAAGGUCUUCGGAUCGUAAAACUCUGUCCUUGGUGAAGAAAGGACGGUAGCCAAGGAGGAAGCCCCGGCUAACUACGUGCCAGCAGCCGCGGUAAGACGUCACGUCG
rnacentral:rRNA from 1 species